AGUAGCGGCGAGUGAAGCGGGAAGAGCUCAAAUUUGUAAUCUGGCGUCCUUCGGGCGUCCGAGUUGUAAUCUAUAGAAGUGUUUUCCGUGCCGGACCAUGUCCAAGUCCCUUGGAACAGGGUAUCAAAGAGGGUGACAAUCCCGUACUUGACAUGACCACCGGUGCUCUGUGAUACACUUUCUACGAGUCGAGUUGUUUGGGAAUGCAGCUCAAAAUGGGUGGUAAAUUCCAUCUAAAGCUAAAUAUUGGCGAGAGACCGAUAGCGAACAAGUACCGUGAGGGAAAGAUGAAAAGCACUUUGGAAAGAGAGUUAAACAGUACGUGAAAUUGUUGAAAGGGAAACGAUUGAAGUCAGUCGUGUUCUUUGGACUCAGCCGGUUCUUCCGGUCUAUUUCCUUUGAACGGGUCAACAUCAGUUUUGUCCGGUGGAUAAAGGCAGGAAGAAAGUGGCUCCCUCGGGAGUGUUAUAGCUUUCUGUCACAUACACUGGAGGAGACUGAGGACUGCAGCUCGCCUUUUGGCCGGGGUUCGCCCACGUUCGAGCUUAGGAUGUUGACAUAAUGGCUUUAAA
rnacentral:rRNA from 1 species